UACGGAGGGGGCUAGCGUUGUUCGGAAUUACUGGGCGUAAAGCGCACGUAGGCGGCUUUGCAAGUUAGAGGUGAAAGCCCGGGGCUCAACUCCGGAAUUGCCUUUAAAACUGCAUCGCUAGAAUUGUGGAGAGGUAAGUGGAAUUCCGAGUGUAGAGGUGAAAUUCGUAGAUAUUCGGAAGAACACCAGUGGCGAAGGCGGUUCUCUGGGCCUUACCUGACGCUGAGGAGCGAAAGCGUGGGGAGCGAACAGG
rnacentral:rRNA from 1 species